AUGCUCACUUCGGCAGCACAUACACUAAAACUGGAACAAUACAGAUGAGAUUACCAUGGCCCCUGCACGGGAAUGACAUGCAGAUUUGUGAAGUGUUCCAUAUUUUA